CACCGGCCGGGCCCGCCCCUUUUCGGCCAGAGGAGGCGGGGCCUCGGCGCAGGGGCGUGGCCUAGCGCGAGCGGCGUUCUGGCACCGCCCCCCGUGACGCACAGUCCAGCCCACUACAAGGACGGGUUGGAGGGGGUCUGCGGCCGGGUGGUCCGGCCGGGGCUGGGGCUGCUGGGGGAGCCGUUUGGAGGAGAGAAGGCUCGGAGGGGACGCGGGCACCUGAGAGGGGAGGAGGGGGCCGUCAAGUGGAGGGUGUGGUGACGGGCUGGGGGCCCAGCGCGCUCCCGGCCUCCGCUGGCGGGCGCGCGCGUGCCUCGUAUCCGGGCGCGCGCUCUUUGCCCCCGGACCCAGUCCCAGUCCGCAAGCUGCUUGGAUCCUUGCCCAUUGCUUAUUGUGCGUUUCUGCAGUAACCUCUGAUACGAGGGAGCGACUCUUGGGACGCUCACAUCCACAGCUCCUUUGGCAACACUGGAGGGAGAAGAGUUCUUGAUGUGCUCUGAGGAGAAUUUGCUAAUUGUUUACCUCCCCAGGUACAAGUAGGAUUGCAUUUCCUGGCUUCCUUGUAGCUGGGAUGAGCCACGUGACACAUUCUGCCAUGAAUUGUGAGCCUAGCAUCUAAUUGCUGAUGCAAGACCUUCCGGAACUCUUUUUCCCUUUGCCAUGGCAAUCAACAAUGUUCCAGAGAGUAUAUGCUCUGUAAGUCUUGGUCUUGGAGAGAGGAUGAUGCAAAAAGAGUCCCAUUCACCUCAUGAUGGGUAUUUAAAGUAUCAACUUCCGUUCUCCAAAUGGUAUCCAUUCUACAAAUGGAAAUAGGAGAGUGCAGUGUGGUCUCUGUCGCUCAUGCUCAGUGAACACAGCUGGGUCCAAAGUUGUCUUUCCAGGAUUAGAUGGCGAAGCUGGAGUAUCACUUGUGAGGAAUUCCUACUAAGGAAUCUCUGCCUAGGCGGCUUGCGGGGCAAGAGUAGGUGCUGAGUUGCUCUCCUCACCAGUGCACGAGGCAUGCAGAUGCUGCCACGGAGUCUCAGCUCUAUGCAAGACCAGCCCUGAUCAUGCCUUAAAACAGUUUGAAUCAAGCUGGCAUUUUCCCCCACAAAAGUUCAGCAAGCAUUAGAAUAUACCAGUCAGAACACAGAAGAGAAAUACAACCUGGAGACGCAAAAUUCAGAAGGCACCAACAUUUUAAUGAACUAACAUAGGACCAGCCUUCUUCACACUUCACAUCACAGAGUAAGUGGAGAAGAAAACUGAGAAACAAUGAAUUUAGCAUUUAUUAUCUUGCUUUAGAAUAGAAUUAUGGUGGGGCGCUUGGCUGGCUCAGUCGGUGGAGUAUGCGACUCUUGGUCUCAGAGUCAUGAGUUUAAGCCCUGAAUAGAGCUUACGUACAAAGUAAAAAUA